ensembl:snoRNA SNORD22 Small nucleolar RNA SNORD22
UCCUAAUGAGGAAAAUAGAUCAUGACUUACUGUCCAUGUUGGUCCAGAGCCUGCUAAGGUUGAACCCACUGGGCCACUGGAGAGAGAGGAGGAUACUUGUUCCAAAAGGAACAGUCUGAUGGGA